rnacentral:rRNA from 1 species
AUACGGAGGGGACAAGCGUUAUUCGGAAUCACUGGGCGUAAAGGACGCGUAGGCGGGUUAUUAAGUCGGGUGUGAAAUCCAAUGGCUCAACCAUUGAACUGCAUUCGAAACUGAUAACCUAGAGUAUGGAAGGGGCAGGUGGAAUUAGUGGUGUAGGGGUAAAAUCCGUAGAUAUCACUAGGAAUACCGAAAGCGAAGGCGACCUGCUGGGACAUUACUGACACUGAGGCGUGAAAGCGUGGGGAGCAAACGGGAUUAGAAACCCCGGUAGUCC